GAACCCUGACGGAGCAACGCCGCGUGCGGGAGGACGGCCUGUGGGUUGUAAACCGCUUUUCUCAGGGAAGAAGUUCUGACGGUACCUGAGGAAUCAGCAUCGGCUAACUCCGUGCCAGCAGCCGCGGUAAUACGGAGGAUGCAAGCGUUAUCCGGAAUUAUUGGGCGUAAAGCGUCCGUAGGCGGUGAGUUAAGUCUGCUGUCAAAGCCUGCAGCUCAACUGUGGAGUGGCAGUGGAAACUGAUUGACUAUAGUGCGAUAGGGGUAGAGGGAAUUCCCAGAUGUAGCGGUGAAAUGCGUAGAUAUAGGGAAGAACACCAGUGGCGAAGGCGCUCUACUGGGUCGCAUCUGACGCUGAGGGACGAAAGCUAGGGGAGCG
rnacentral:rRNA from 1 species